GAUGAACGCUGGCGGCGUGCCUAAUACAUGCAAGUCGAGCGAACAGAUGAUGAGCUUGCUCCUCUGACGUUAGCGGCGGACGGGUGAGUAACACGUGGAUAACCUACCUAUAAGACUGGGAUAACUUCGGGAAACCGGAGCUAAUACCGGAUAAUAUAUUGAACCGCAUGGUUCAAUAGUGAAAGACGGUUUUGCUGUCACUUAUAGAUGGAUCCGCGCCGCAUUAGCUAGUUGGUAAGGUAACGGCUUACCAAGGCAACGAUGCGUAGCAGACCUGAGAGGGUGAUCGGCCCCACUGGAACUGAGACACGGUCCAGACUCCUACGGGAGGCAGCAGUAGGGAAUCUUCCGCAAUGGGCGAAAGCCUGACGGAGCAACGCCGCGUGAGUGAUGAAGGUCUUCGGAUCGUAAAACUCUGUUAUUAGGGAAGAACAAAUGUGUAAGUAACUAUGCACGUCUUGACGGUACCUAAUCAGAAAGCCACGGCUAACUACGUG
rnacentral:rRNA from 1 species